AUUAGAGAUGGAGGUUUAGAAAGUGAGUUUCAGUCUUGUUUAAGUCUCUUCCCAUCAGACUGGUUUUGUGAUUUCCUACACACCAUGUUACUUCCUGUCUACCUUUUCUUGGUGUUGUUCAUGCCUGGAUUGUCUCCUGUACCUGCUCAAACCUUGGUCUGUUCUCAUUUGUACCAUGAAAUUUUGUCAUGCUGGAUACUGUCAGAACUAAUUUUACUUAACUUUGUGUUAAGCCACAAACCACACAUUUUGUAUAUUUUCUGUUUUUUUGUUUGCCUAUAUUUUUAUGGUUUUCUCAAGAAAUAUUAUGGGAAGGGAAAUAGCAAGAUGUAAAGAGCAAAAAAGUCAUCAUUCUCUUUAAAUUGUUAGAACAUCUAGCUGCAAUCAUAAUUAUGAUGCACUGUGGUAUGUGUUAAAAGAGGAAAUACAUGUAAUGUCCCGUAGGAGCAGCAAACUCAGUGGUGUUAGUGGGGGUGUGUCAUGGAACUAAUCAAAAAGCACGUGACUGUUGGUUGGUGUCCUGAAACAUUAGUGUGUGUUCCCUGUGUCCAGUAGUGGUCUGGAGGGGUCAGGAAGACUGCCUUUCAAUUUGAGGGAACAGAGAGCUUGAGGUCCUCUCUCUUAUAUUGCUCUAGUAUACUGCAUAGCACCUAAUAAAAUACUGGGUUUAUAGUUGACUUUUAAAUCACUGAUUGAUAAACAACAUUGGGAUGUAUCUUUGGAAAUGAAAAUAGGAAGAAUCUUAUGCUUUUUAUUUUUUUCCUUUUUUUCCUAUAUCUGAAAAGAUAUGUAGUACUUUGCUGAGUGGUUGGGAAUAAAGUUUGCAGUAUUCAGUGUAUUCAGUUUUAGUAUCUAAAUAGAAUUAAACUGUUGCAAUAAACUGGAAUAACACUUUGUUACUGACAAGUUUUAGAAUGCAUCUGUUCGUCAAUUACCUGUUUGGGAAGAUUGUAGUUAAUGAUUUUGAGAAUGUGGCUAUAAACCUCCAGUUGACUCAAGAAAAGCAAAUAAGUCAAGAUUGACAAAUGUAUAGGCUCUUCAUCUUAUUGUGUGUGUGUUUUUGUCCUUUUAGUUAUUUUUCAAGGUAUAAAGAAUUCUAUCACACUUAAGACAAGUUAAGUAAACUUCAUGGGGUGUAAUCUGACAUGGCAGGGAGCAGAUCACAUGGCCUAGAUCUUAAAGUAUCAGACUAUCAGAAGGCAUGAAGAAACCUGGGCUGAGAGUCUUCGUUCCAGGAGACCUGAUCUUGACUGUAUGGCUGGUUUGAGGCGCAUCACUCUGAACUGCAGCACGCUCAUUGGUGACCUGGGUACAAGUGCUUUGGCAGAAUCUCUUAGUGAGGAUUUAUGGCUUAGAGGACUCUUCCACACGUGAGAAAAUGGGAGCUGUCUAUAUGUUAAAUCUGUAUAGACUUUGCAAAUGACCUUUUGUCUUUCAUCGAAAGCACUGGACCUGCAGCAGUGUGGCCUCACCAGUGAGGGAGCAAAGGCUUUACUAAAGGCCCUUGAAACCAACAGAACUCUGCUCGUUCUGGAUAUAAGAAAAAAUCCACUUAUUGUACCAGUGGAUAACUUCUCCAUCGGUGAAGGAACCAUACAAAGCUGCUAGACAGAAAAGGAGAACUAUAAUUUUGGAAAGUGGUCGAAAAGGAAAAGCUAGUAUUAGAAUUGAUGUCCAGUGGAGCCCCAGAAUAAAAGCAAGAUGAAUAUUCAAUUCCACAUUGGCAACACCAAAGAAGAUGAUGCUUUAGAAAAAAGAUUUCUCGACAAAGCUCUUGAACUCAAUAUGAUCUCCCUGCAAAGGCAUAGGUGAGUACAUGUCCCAUUCAGAAGCUUGUCAGAGAAUUGGUUUAGUUUUCAGACGCUGAAGGAGACACAUCUAGGAGCCUGCCCAUCCUGGAGUAGCAGUUAUUGUAACUAGUUGGGAAAGACCGUUUGUUACGGGGGUGCUCCUGCUGCUGCUUACAGGCCCC